rnacentral:rRNA from 1 species
GUACACGCUGUGACUAGCAUAUCAAUAAGCGGAGGAAAAGAAACUAACAAGGAUUCCCCUAGUAACGGCGAGUGAAGCGGGAAGAGCUCAAAUUUGAAAUCUUAAAGGGUUUCCCUUUACGAAUUGUAGUUUAAAGAAGUGUUUUCUGUUGAGGUUUUGGUAAAAGUUCUUUGGAAUAGGACAUCAUAGAGGGUGAGAAUCCCGUAUUUGACCUUUACUUUCAACUUUGUGAUACACUUUCAAAGAGUCGGAUUGUUUGGGAAUGCAGUCCAAAAUGGGUGGUAAAUUUCAUCUAAAGCUAAAUAUUGGCGAGAGACCGAUAGCGAACAAGUACCGUGAGGGAAAGAUGAAAAGAACUUUGAAAAGAGAGUUAAACAGUACGUGAAAUUGUCAAAAGGGAAGCGUUUGACACCAGUGUUGUUUUUCUGAAAAUCAAUUAAAGAACUGUUUAUGCUAAGUUGUUUAGACUUUAUCAGCUAACUGUUUAGUUUUGAGCUUUUCUUUAAUGCACUUUUCAGUUAACAAGUCAACAUCAAUUUACUUUUGCUGUAAAAAAGCUUGAGGAAGGUGGCUUGAGAUUCGUCUUAAGUGUUUAUAGCCUCUUGCCUAUGCAGUCGGAGAGAUUGAGGUCUGCAGCGUAGAUCCUUCGGGGCUAAAUGCAUUUGUGCUAAGUUAUAGCAUUUCAUAGACAACUUGUUGACUAUGAUUUGUCUUGUAGCUUACUCGCUUAUGUUAUUUUACCUACGCUUAGGAUGUUGACUGAUAUGUAGUCGU